CGGGACGGGUGAGUAAUGUCUGGGAAACUGCCCGAUGGAGGGGGAUAACUACUGGAAACGGUAGCUAAUACCGCAUAACGUCGCAAGACCAAAGAGGGAGACCUUCGGGCCUCUUGCCAUCGGAUGUGCCCAGAUGGGAUUAGCUAGUAGGUGGGGUAACGGCUCACCUAGGCGACGAUCCCUAGCUGGUCUGAGAGGAUGACCAGCCACACUGGAACUGAGACACGGUCCAG
rnacentral:rRNA from 1 species